GUGCUGUGGUAGCUGUCCUUGCCUGUCCUUGUGACAGUCUGUUUGCUCAUGCAUUCAUUGGACAAGAAUUUAUGGAGCACCUUCUAUGUGUCAGGUAACGGAGAUAAAAUGUCAACAAGGUAAGUGUGACCCAGGAUGCAAAAAGAGAGAAGGAGAGAGGGAGAAGGAAAGAAGGAAGAAAGGAAGGAAUUAAGAAAGGAGGGAAGGGAGGGAGGAAGGGAGGGAGGAAGGGAGGGAAGAAGGGAGGGAAGGAGGGAGGGGAAAACCAUAUAGUUUCUAGCCUCAUGCUUCUUACAGUCUAGAGCAGAAUGUGAAUGCCAUUCAGAUAGCUAUGAAAUUACCACUGGGUUCGGCACUACAAAGAAAAGGUCCAUCAUACCAUAUAGUAGGGAGUGGUCACCUGAUCCCGUCUUGGGAAAUGUCAGGGGUUAGUCGCCCUGAUGGAUCUGAGAACUGGUGGAUGAGAAAGGGCUAACUAAGCCCAGGUGAUGGUAUCUGAGAUAGCUCUUUUACUACACCAUGAACUUCUUGAAGGGCAAGGCCUUUACUACACUUCAUUCUUUAUUCAAUCUAUAGUCCCUAGUUCAUGUUUGCCACACAGGAAGGUUUCAAUAGAUAAAUUUUGAAUGAAGCAUAUUGCUUAGGAAACAUUGUGUGAUGAACUUGCAGAUUUACUAACAUAACAAGUCAGAAUGCAGAGAUGUACUUUCAGACCUGCUAUUUCUCAUGAUGCUUUUUUUGCUUUGCCGUUGGGAUACAUGGAUAUAUAUUGCUAGAAUUUAAAUGCUUCUUUGGGUAAUGCUGAGUCUUUGGGGAUAACUGCUCUUGUCUAGACUCACUUGUUUUUCUCUUGGAUAGUGUCUAGGAUGUGAAGGGAACACCAGUAGAGUAAAAGGGUCUCAGGCCCACCAGAUUCCUCCAGUGCUAGGUGGUCUUGAUUGUGGAGAGCCUGAUCUGCAGUGGGCUGUUGCUAGAUUCUUUCUUGAUUUAGUAGGGUCCUGUGGUUUUUUUCCUGUUGUCUCUACAGGAUAGAUUCUCUGAGUCUUUGUCAUUCCAAAUUGUUCUUCCCCAGACUUCAUUAUUCAGUCAUCUCAUCCCAACCAUGUGUCCUCAAGGAUGACCUGUUGGGUGUUUCUGUCACACAGGAACUAAAGGGGACCAGGAGUACCAUCUAGAUUCUCUGUCGGGCCCCACUGCCUUCAACUCUGCUGACCUUCUCCUUGUUGGCACGGGGUUGAUUACACAAAUACCUCAUGAGGAUUUCUAACAGGAAGUGAAAUUAGAGCCCAGAACAGAGAAUUAAGGACCCACAUGUCUGAGAGUUUUCCUAGCUGAGCAUUGUCAACCUUUCUUCCACAGCCACCUGGAGCCAAAGGGAGAGCCCUUUCAUUCUUCCUGUAUAUCCCGAUCCUCUUUCUGAUCAAGGAUUAAGCAUCAUGAACUGGCCUUCAUGGAAAAGUUUAUCUGACCCAGAAAUUAUUCCCUGAUAUAGAGGAGCAUGCUCCAGGGAUGAUUCUUGUAACAUUAAAUAAGAGAUGAUGGAUUUG
rnacentral:lncRNA from 1 species